CAGAGCUGUGCAAAGGAAUACAACAUAGACAUAGAAGAGGAAAAUGAGUCCAUAUGCUGCCAACAUGGAUCUAUAUCCAACAUAUAUGGACAACUUCUCAAGUUUGAGUCUACUGAUCUGCUAUUGAUUCUAUUUUCCACCGUGUUACUUAUUUACGGAGGUCCCAAUAAGGAACAUGGUGCUGCCACCAAAAACUAACCUGGAGAAUUCCAGAGGGGCUAAAAGGAGGGAGGAGACGCCAGCCCAUAAGAUGUCCUGCCAACCUCCCAGAAACCCUCACGCUGGAAUCCAUCUUGGCUGAGAGUUGCGUGUGCCACCAGGAAGGACCCUCUGUCAGACCAAAUAUGGGCACAAGCAAGAUGACUGUCCAGAGACAACCCGGAAAGCUAACCCCACCACUAUAAAUCCUGAGACUACGAGCCACAGCCAUGUGGCAGAGCAGUUUUCCUGGGCUCCCUUACCCGCUGCUCUCCGCCCAGCGCCCCUUCCCAAUAAAAUCUUUUGUUUUG